AAUUAGACAAAUGAACGUGUUUUCGACUUUCCAAAAAGAAAAAUUGGAAAAAUAAGAAAUGGAAAGGAAAACUGGAAAUGGAAACAGAAAAGGUUUUUCAUAACUGAACAAGGCCAAAAAGUUCCCUCACAUAGAUGACAAAACUACCAUGUGCCAUUAACUUCGUAUGACACAUAAUAUAACUCUGGAGCAAAUCAAAAGAAAAAAUUAUACAUGUCAUAGCACCCAAUUGGACAAUUUGCCAUAUAAUGAUAAAAAAAAAUAUCAACUUUUAACAAUAAAAGUAUAAAGUUUCAUUAGCAAGUAAACACAAAUAGUACAGACCCUUAGAAUGCUUACAUGUUGUCAGCACAAAGCACCAAAAAAAACACAUUCCAGCAAGCAUACCUAUUAAAUCAUAUUACUAUUUUCCUGUCUGUUUAUCAUCAUAAGUACAAACAGUUGAUUGAAAGCAAGUUAACAAUACUAGCCAGGAUGGUUUUUAAAAAUCAAUUCUACUGUGAGAUUAUUGGAAUUCCCCAUCUACUUGUUUAGAAAUCAAUUUGCAUUUAGUAAAUGACAAAGAGGUUCCUAUCUUUAUGCACCCAAUUGGAU
rnacentral:misc_RNA from 1 species